GACGAACGCUGGCGGCGUGCCUAAUACAUGCAAGUAGAACGCUGAAGAGAGGAGCUUGCUCUUCUUGGAAGAGUUGCGAACGGGUGAGUAACGCGUAGGUAACCUGCCUUGUAGCGGGGGAUAACUAUUGGAAACGAUAGCUAAUACCGCAUAACAAUGGGUGACCCAUGUCAUUCAUUUAAAAGGGGCAACUGCUCCACUACAAGAUGGACCUGCGUUGUAUUAGCUAGUAGGUGAGGUAACGGCUCACCUAGGCGACGAUACAUAGCCGACCUGAGAGGGUGAUCGGCUACACUGGGACUGAGACACGGCCCAGACUCCUACGGGAGGCAGCAGUAGGGAAUCUUCGGCAAUGGGGGCAACCCUGACCGAGCAACGCCGCGUGAGUGAAGAAGGUUUUCGGAUCGUAAAGCUCUGUUGUAAGUCAAGAACGAGUGUGAGAGUGGAAAGUUCACACUGUGACGGUAGCUUACCAGAAAGGGACGGCUAACUACGUGCCAGCAGCCGCGGUAAUACGUAGGUCCCGAGCGUUGUCCGGAUUUAUUGGGCGUAAAGCGAGCGCAGGCGGUUUGAUAAGUCUGAAGUUAAAGGCUGUGGCUCAACCAUAGUUUGCUUUGGAAACUGUCAAACUUGAGUGCAGAAGGGGAGAGUGGAAUUCCAUGUGUAGCGGUGAAAUGCGUAGAUAUAUGGAGGAACACCGGUGGCGAAAGCGGCUCUCUGGUCUGUAACUGACGCUGAGGCUCGAAAGCGUGGGGAGCGAACAGG
rnacentral:rRNA from 1 species